rnacentral:lncRNA from 1 species
CUAGGAAAUGACACAGGAUUCGCCAAGGAAAAUGUCUAAAUCUCGUACAUGAAGAGUUUUCUAACAGUUUGCAAAAUACAUGUGACGGAAUUAACGAGUAAUUUUAACUCAAUAAACGAUGUUUUAUAUGAUACUACGUUUUGGAUUUACUGGGAGAAGCCAAUAAAAAAGGUUGAUGUUGAACCUUCAUAUAUGGCUACCUGGCAGGAUGGGAAAAGAUCUGGUAGACUGGCAAAAGAAGAAUGUGAAUAUCUAAUACACUGACUAUGUGGAAUCAUGAACUAUUUUCUCUAAAAGAGGAAUAACGUUAUGCUUAAUUGUUUUACCAUUUGCCAAUUAAAGGACAGAAACAUGUAGAUACUUAAUAAUAUUACAACAAUAUAUUGUUGAGUAAGAUCAAAGCUCAUAUGAAAUAAAUAUAUAUUAAACUGUAUUUCACAUAGACAUGCAAACAUUUUCAUAAAGCGAUCAUUCAUAACA